GAUGAACGCUGGCGGCGUGCCUAAUACAUGCAAGUCGAGCGAACAGACGAGGAGCUUGCUCCUCUGACGUUAGCGGCGGACGGGUGAGUAACACGUGGAUAACCUACCUAUAAGACUGGGAUAACUUCGGGAAACAGGAGCUAAUACCGGAUAAUAUAUUGAACCGCAUGGUUCAAUAGUGAAAGACGGUUUUGCUGUCACUUAUAGAUGGAUCCGCGCCGCAUUAGCUAGUUGGUAAGGUAACGGCUUACCAAGGCGACGAUGCGUAGCCGACCUGAGAGGGUGAUCGGCCACACUGGAACUGAGACACGGUCCAGACUCCUACGGGAGGCAGCAGUAGGGAAUCUUCCGCAAUGGGCGAAAGCCUGACGGAGCAACGCCGCGUGAGUGAUGAAGGUCUUCGGAUCGUAAAGCUCUGUUAUUAGGGAAGAACAAAUGUGUAAGAAACUAUGCACGUCUUGACGGUACCUAAUCAGAAAGCCACGGCUAACUACGUG
rnacentral:rRNA from 1 species